rnacentral:tRNA from 1 species
GCGGGUUAGGGCCGAAUUGCCUGCGGUCUACGGAACCGAAGGUCACAGGUUCGAAUCCUGUCGGGCGCG